rnacentral:rRNA from 1 species
GAGUAUGAUCGUGGCUCAGGACGAACGCUGGCGGCGUGCCUAAUACAUGCAAGUUGAGCGAUGAAGAUUGGUGCUUGCACCAAUUUGAAGAGCAGCGAACGGGUGAGUAACACGUGGGUAACCUGCCCAAGAGACUGGGAUAACACCUGGAAACAGAUGCUAAUACCGGAUAACAACACUAGACGCAUGUCUAGAGUUUGAAAGAUGGUUCUGCUAUCACUCUUGGAUGGACCUGCGGUGCAUUAGCUAGUUGGUAAGGUAACGGCUUACCAAGGCAAUGAUGCAUAGCCGAGUUGAGAGACUGAUCGGCCACAUUGGGACUGAGACACGGCCCAAACUCCUACGGGAGGCAGCAGUAGGGAAUCUUCCACAAUGGACGCAAGUCUGAUGGAGCAACGCCGCGUGAGUGAAGAAGGUUUUCGGAUCGUAAAGCUCUGUUGUGGUGAAGA